rnacentral:rRNA from 1 species
UACGAACUGUGCGAACGUUAUUCGGAAUCACUGGGCUUAAAGGGCGCGUAGGCGGGCUGCCAAGUCCGCGGUGAAAUCCCCCGGCUCAACCGGGGAACUGCCGCGGAUACUGGAAGUCUCGAGGGAGGUAGGGGCAUGCGGAACUGCGGGUGGAGCGGUGAAAUGCGUUGAUAUCCGCAGGAACUCCGGUGGCGAAGGCGGCGUGCUGGACCUCUUCUGACGCUGAGGCGCGAAAGCCAGGGGAGCGAACGGGG